rnacentral:rRNA from 1 species
AUUGAACGCUGGCGGCAGGCUUAACACAUGCAAGUCGAGCGAGCGGCGGACGGGUGAGUAAUGUCUGGGAAACUGCCUGAUGGAGGGGGAUAACUACUCGAAACGGUAGCUAAUACCGCAUACCAUCAGAUGUGCCCAGAUGGGAUUAGCUAGGUGGUGGGGUAAUGGCUCACCUAGGCGACGAUCCCUAGCUGGUCUGAGAGGAUGACACCCCCCACUGGAACUGAGACACGGUCCAGACUCCUGCACCACUACUCCAUUUCAAAUAUUGGACAAUGCGGGCAAGCCUGAUCCAGCCAUGCCGCGUGUAUGAAGAAUACCUUCGGGUUUUAAAGGACUUUCAGCGAUGAGGCGUUACUCGCAGAAGAAGCACCGGCUAACUCCGUGCCAGCAGCCGCGGUAAUAC